rnacentral:rRNA from 1 species
GUAGGUGGCAAGCGUUGUCCGGAAUUAUUGGGCGUAAAGCGCGCGCAGGCGGUUCUUUAAGUCUGAUGUGAAAGCCCACGGCUCAACCGUGGAGGGUCAUUGGAAACUGGAGAACUUGAGUACAGAAGAGGAAAGCGGAAUUCCACGUGUAGCGGUGAAAUGCGUAGAGAUGUGGGGGAACACCAGUGGCGAAGGCGGCUUUCUGGUCUGUAACUGACGCUGAGGCGCGAAAGCGUGGGGAGCAAACAGGGAUUAGAUACCCUGGUAGUCCACGCCGUAAACGAUGAGUGCUAAGUGUUAGGGGGUUUCCCGCCCCUUAGUGCUGCAGCUAACGCAUUAAGCACUCCGCCUGGGGAGUACGGCCGCAAGGCUG